rnacentral:rRNA from 1 species
UACGUAGGGUGCGAGCGUUAAUCGGAAUUACUGGGCGUAAAGCGUGCGCAGGCGGUUGUGCAAGACAGAUGUGAAAUCCCCGGGCUCAACCUGGGAAUUGCAUUUGUGACUGCACGGCUAGAGUGUGUCAGAGGGGGGGUAGAAUUCCACGUGUAGCAGUGAAAUGCGUAGAUAUGUGGAGGAAUACCGAUGGCGAAGGCAGCCCCCCUGGGAUAACACUGACGCUCAUGCACGAAAGCGUGGGGGAGCAAACAGG